GGACGGGUGGCCGAGUGGUUUAAGGCGCACGCCUGGAAAGUGUGUGUACGUUUAUAGCGUACCGUGGGUUCGAAUCCCACCCUGUCCG
rnacentral:tRNA from 1 species